AGCUGGAUGGGUGAAGUGUUCCCUCAGUUCACAUAGACCAGGCUUCCUCUUUAGAGGCAUAAGCUGUAAAACAGGAGAGUCUGUUUUAAGAGGAUCUGUUUGAAGUUUAAUGUAACUGAAGUCCAUGCACCUGAAGCCAUUAAUUGAUAUAAGUGAAGUAAGUCUUUGGGUUUCCGGUAGCUCUGACUCAGAUUCUGCUUGCCUCUUCUCCAUGAGAUUACCAAGGCAUCAGGGCAGAGACUCCCUGAGGCUAUGCUAGAAGGGUACCAUUUGAAAAGGAAGUGUAUGACCCACCGUGAAAUGGAACUGGUAGCUGGUCACCCAGGUGCUCUUCCUUGUUAACUGAUGAGAGCGAUUAUUAUGUGAGAACUUUAACAACCUGCCAAAGGAUCCCGGGGCAAGAAUGAGAGCUGAACCAUUGAAAAGCUGAGCAUCGAAGUGCCUGGGAAGCCCAAAACUCAGCACAUUCAUGCUUUUGCUGGUUUUUGACCAUUGAGAAGAAAAAAGAGUCAGCAACCAGGGAGCAGCCUCUUCUAAAAUGGUGUGUUUAUUAUGAAGUGUUCUUGGAAGUUUUCUUAUGUCAUCUGAAUCAAUAUAAUAUCAGACCUA
rnacentral:lncRNA from 1 species